rnacentral:rRNA from 1 species
UUAAGCGACUAAGCGUACACGGUGGAUGCCCUGGCAGUCAGAGGCGAUGAAGGGCGUGCUAAUCUGCGAUAAGCGCCGGUAAGGUGAUAUGAACCGUUAUAACCGGCGAUACCCGAAUGGGGAAACCCAGUGUGACUCGUCACACUAUCAUUAACUGAAUCCAUAGGUUAAUGAGGCGAACCGGGGGAACUGAAACAUCUAAGUACCCCGAGGAAAAGAAAUCAACCGAGAUUCCCCCAGUAGCGGCGAGCGAACGGGGAGGAGCCCAGAGCCUGAAUCAGCAUGUGUGUUAGUGGAAGCGUCUGGAAAGGCGCGCGAUACAGGGUGACAGCCCCGUACACAAAAGCGCAUGUGCUGUGAGCUCGAUGAGUAGGGCGGGACACGUGGUAUCCUGUCUGAAUAUGGGGGGACCAUCCUCCAAGGCUAAAUACUCCUGACUGACCGAUAGUGAACCAGUACCGUGAGGGAAAGGCGAAAAGAACCCCGGCGAGGGGAGUGAAAAAGAACCUGAAACCGUGUACGUACAAGCAGUGGGAGCCCCACCACUAAGCCAGUGGUGAACUCCACAUACGCAUCCUUUGCUGAGGAUACGGUUAACGGAGCGAAAGCGACGUUCAACCGCAAAAGAAGCAGAGGGGGCUUAGUGGUGGGGUGACUGCGUACCUUUUGUAUAAUGGGUCAGCGACUUAUAUUCUGUAGCAAGGUUAACCGAAUAGGGGAGCCGGAGGGAAACCGAGUCUUAAUUGGGCGUUAAGUUGCAGGGUAUAGACCCGAAACCCGGUGAUCUAGCCAUGGGCAGGUUGAAGGUUGGGUAACACUAACUGGAGGACCGAACCGACUAAUGUUGAAAAAUUAGCGGAUGACCUGUGGCUGGGGGUGAAAGGCCAAUCAAACCGGGAGAUAGCUGGUUCUCCCCGAAAGCUAUUUAGGUAGCGCCUCGUGAAUUCAUCUCCGGGGGUAGAGCACUGUUUCGGCUAGGGGGCCAUCCCGGCUUACCAACCCGAUGCAAACUGCGAAUACCGGAGAAUGUUAUCACGGGAGACACACGGCGGGUGCUAACGUCCGUCGUGAAGAGGGAAACAACCCAGACCGCCAGCUAAGGUCCCAAAGUCAUGGUUAAGUGGGAAACGAUGUGGGAAGGCCCAGACAGCCAGGAUGUUGGCUUAGAAGCAGCCAUCAUUUAAAGAAAGCGUAAUAGCUCACUGGUCGAGUCGGCCUGCGCGGAAGAUGUAACGGGGCUAAACCAUGCACCGAAGCUGCGGCAGCGACACUGUGUGUUGUUGGGUAGGGGAGCGUUCUGUAAGCCUGUGAAGGUGUGUCGUGAGGCAUGCUGGAGGUAUCAGAAGUGCGAAUGCUGACAUAAGUAACGAUAAAGCGGGUGAAAAGCCCGCUCGCCGGAAGACCAAGGGUUCCUGUCCAACGUUAAUCGGGGCAGGGUGAGUCGACCCCUAAGGCGAGGCCGAAAGGCGUAGUCGAUGGGAAACGGGUUAAUAUUCCCGUACUUGGUGUUACUGCGAAGGGGGGACGGAGAAGGCUAUGUUGGCCGGGCGACGGUUGUCCCGGUUUAAGCGUGUAGGUGUGUGUUCCAGGUAAAUCCGGUUCACUUUAACACUGAGGCGUGACGACGAGGCACUACGGUGCUGAAGCAACAAAUGCCCUGCUUCCAGGAAAAGCCUCUAAGCAUCAGGUAACAUCAAAUCGUACCCCAAACCGACACAGGUGGUCAGGUAGAGAAUACCAAGGCGCUUGAGAGAACUCGGGUGAAGGAACUAGGCAAAAUGGUGCCGUAACUUCGGGAGAAGGCACGCUGACACGUAGGUGAAGUGAUUUACUCAUGGAGCUGAAGUCAGUCGAAGAUACCAGCUGGCUGCAACUGUUUAUUAAAAACACAGCACUGUGCAAACACGAAAGUGGACGUAUACGGUGUGACGCCUGCCCGGUGCCGGAAGGUUAAUUGAUGGGGUCAGCGCAAGCGAAGCUCCUGAUCGAAGCCCCGGUAAACGGCGGCCGUAACUAUAACGGUCCUAAGGUAGCGAAAUUCCUUGUCGGGUAAGUUCCGACCUGCACGAAUGGCGUAAUGAUGGCCAGGCUGUCUCCACCCGAGACUCAGUGAAAUUGAACUCGCUGUGAAGAUGCAGUGUACCCGCGGCAAGACGGAAAGACCCCGUGAACCUUUACUAUAGCUUGACACUGAACAUUGAGCCUUGAUGUGUAGGAUAGGUGGGAGGCUUUGAAGCGUGGACGCCAGUCUGCGUGGAGCCGACCUUGAAAUACCACCCUUUAAUGUUUGAUGUUCUAACGUGGACCCGUAAUCCGGGUUGCGGACAGUGUCUGGUGGGUAGUUUGACUGGGGCGGUCUCCUCCUAAAGAGUAACGGAGGAGCACGAAGGUUGGCUAAUCCUGGUCGGACAUCAGGAGGUUAGUGCAAUGGCAUAAGCCAGCUUGACUGCGAGCGUGACGGCGCGAGCAGGUGCGAAAGCAGGUCAUAGUGAUCCGGUGGUUCUGAAUGGAAGGGCCAUCGCUCAACGGAUAAAAGGUACUCCGGGGAUAACAGGCUGAUACCGCCCAAGAGUUCAUAUCGACGGCGGUGUUUGGCACCUCGAUGUCGGCUCAUCACAUCCUGGGGCUGAAGUAGGUCCCAAGGGUAUGGCUGUUCGCCAUUUAAAGUGGUACGCGAGCUGGGUUUAGAACGUCGUGAGACAGUUCGGUCCCUAUCUGCCGUGGGCGCUGGAGAACUGAGGGGGGCUGCUCCUAGUACGAGAGGACCGGAGUGGACGCAUCACUGGUGUUCGGGUUGUCAUGCCAAUGGCACUGCCCGGUAGCUAAAUGCGGAAGAGAUAAGUGCUGAAAGCAUCUAAGCACGAAACUUGCCCCGAGAUGAGUUCUCCCUGAGACUUAGAGUCUCCUGAAGGAACGUUGAAGACGACGACGUUGAUAGGCCGGGUGUGUAAGCGCAGCGAUGCGUUGAGCUAACCGGUACUAAUGAACCGUGAGGCUUAACCUU